UACGAAGGGGGCUAGCGUUGCUCGGAAUUACUGGGCGUAAAGCGCACGUAGGCGGAUUGUUAAGUCGGGGGUGAAAUCCUGGAGCUCAACUCCAGAACUGCCUUCGAUACUGGCGAUCUCGAGUUCGGGAGAGGUGAGUGGAACUGCGAGUGUAGAGGUGAAAUUCGUAGAUAUUCGCAAGAACACCAGUGGCGAAGGCGGCUCACUGGCCCGAUACUGACGCUGAGGUGCGAAAGUGUGGGGAGCAAACAGG
rnacentral:rRNA from 1 species